rnacentral:lncRNA from 1 species
GUUAACUGAUUUUAUGUUCUGAUGUUUUGACUGGUUUUGGGAAAAAUUUUGGGAAAAAAGAGUUUUCCUCGUAAAUACCCAACAACUGGGUCUCUGGGUAAAAAGGCCUAAUUUAUAGAGAUUGCUAAUUUCCAUGGUGUAAAUAUUUCCACAAUGCAGAUUCCUUCCUUCCUUUUUUUUUUUUUUUUUUUUGAGAUGGAGUUUCACUCUUGUUACCCAGACUGGAGUGCAAAGGUGCGACCUUGGCUCACUGCAAUCUUCACCUCCCGGGUUCAAGCCAUUCUCCUGCCUCAGCCUCCCAAGUAGCUGGGAUUACAGGUGCCCACGACCAUGCCUGGCUAAUUUUGUAUUUUUAGUAGAGAUAGGGAUUCACCAUGUUGGCCAGGCUGGUCUCAACCUCUGGACCUCAGGUGAUCCACCCGCCUCGGCCUCCUAAAGUGCUGGAGAUUACAGGCAUGAGCCACCACGCCCGGACCAUGAUGCAGAUUUCAAGCUAUGAACAUGAUUCUCUGGAGUUUACCAUUUGUCUUUUAAUUGGCAAAUUUGAUGCAGAAUUGGGAAGAGAAGCACACAAUUGACUCUCGUCAGCUGGCACAAGCUGGUGCCAGUGCACCACUGUAUAUAUCCAUGGCCCUCUGUGAAGCUAGAGUUUACUACUAAAAUUUGUGCUCCAUAAAUAUACAAAGGCACUAGUAAGAGAAAAAAUAUAAAGAGAAUAUAAACUAAAUUCAAAUUAGGGAGCUCAAAUGGAGAAAAUUGACAGAUAAUAUUUUUGAAACUUUGAAAAGUAGUAUUUGUCUAGAUUCACCUUUUAUUACCUUUUCCUUUUUUUCUUUUCCUUUUUUUUUUUUUUUUGAGACGGAGUUUCUCUCUUGUUACCCAGGCUGGAGUGCAAUGGCACGCAAUCUCAGCUCAUUGCAACCUCGGCUCACUGUAACCUUCACCUUCCGUGUUCAAAUGAUUCUCCUGCCUCAGCCUUCCGAGUAGCUGGGAUUACAGGCACCCACCACCAUGCCCAGCUAAUUCUUUGUAUUUUUAGUGGAGAUGGGGUUUCACCAUGUUGGCCAGGCUGGUCUUGAACCCCUGACCUCAGGUGAUCCACCCACCUGGGCCUCCCAAAGUGCUGGGAUUACAGGCAUGAGCCACCGCGCCCGGCCUGUUAUUAUCUUUUAUUAAGCAAACAGCGUAUCUAUGUAUCAUACUGAGUGUUCUGAGCUGUUAGUUUCUUUGGUGUUCAUCUAGAUGGAAGCUGGGGCUUCCUUCCUUUCAGAUAUUGGUGCUAACAUGAAGCUGACCAAAGAAUUGAUGGGAUCUGCACACUGUAAAGCCGGUUUCAGGAUGGCUGAGCUGACGGUCAAGAAAGAAGAGAAGAUAUGAGCCGCCUGCAUUUUGGGGUGGUGGCAGUGAAAUUUAGACUUGUGAUUUGGUAUGACAAUAUAUGGCUUUUUGUGAUUGUUAACAUUAAUGAAAACAAGAAAAAUUAGUUGCUCAAAAGUUGAAAAAUGGAUUCAUAAACUUUUUAUUAGAGUAAGGCAAAAGAACAUAUUAAAAUAGAGGUAAAUUAGAAAUGUCAAUAAGAACCCAUGGACAUUUUUUAUAAGGAGACUUUAUCUGUUCUGUCCCUACAGUGAUUUAUGCUCUUGGAUAUUUUUGCUGUCAUCCUGACAAAUUCUAGUUGGAAUAUGGAACAAGCUUAUUUGUAGACCUAGUGCCUGUGGCUUCUAAAGCAAUUUUCUGAAAAGAGAAACCACUGCCUGUUGGAAGAAUAGUUGAUUCCAUACCUCAAGCUAGGGAAAAAAAAUCAGAAUUAGUCUGUGAAUUCUAGAUGUUGAGAGAAAGCAGGGUUUCAUUAGGGCAUCGGAGAGUCACAAGUCCAUAGGAUGCAAAAAGGAAGAUGAAAUAAAAUUGCCUGAAAAACGCACCUGAAUUUCUGGCAUUGUUUACUGAAAAGGCUGUGUAUUGAUGAACCCCAAUUAUGUGAGGUCUACAUUUAAGAGUUUAUAAUCAACAGUUUGAAAAUGCAGGGUGUUGUUUCUUUCUAUAAGGAGACAAAACAGUCAGAAGGGAGUGUCACAGGACAUUAUCACAAAAUCAAAGUUCUCCAUGAAAUGUGGUUCAUUUGCUAGAAAAUAAUGCAAGCCUAUUGGAGAGAAUCAGGGCUUCUAGUGAUGCUAGGGAUGACCUUAAGCAUUGUUUGUAAAUCACACUUUUUCCUAGUCUUUCAGCAGCAGCUGCACAGAGUAGGCCUGCUUCUUCCCAUGAAAGCCACACUGAGUUUUAUCAACUAGUAGUGUGUGGGCACUAUUGCAAGUUAUGUUGUGUUGUUUAUGGCCAUUUAUCCAACAGUGCUUUCCUCUGUGCGGGGCUCUGCAGCCUCGUUCUAUGUUAUUUUUAUUACCACGUGUCUGUGCGCCUCAGGUGGCAAAGCAGAAUCAGCUUCUCUACCCUCAGCAGGGCUCACUAUGACUCACUAUAAGGGAAGAAAAUCUUACAGAUGUCAGAAAAUGUUAGGUAAGUGGACAGUGAUAAACACAAAACAGCAAGUGGUCAGUAUCAAAGAGAAAAACAGUAUGUUGGUGAAGGAGAAGUAUCAAAGCUAGUUAAAAAAGUAACAGGAGAAAUGUAAAGGGACAAUACUCCACAAAAAUUUAGAUUGUAACUGAGCUUCUUCUCCUAAAGAGAUUUAAAAAUAAAGUAUAGGAAAUACAUGAAGAAACAAAGUAAAAUGCCAAGGUGUAAGUUUGACCAUGAAUAUCUAGGGAAAAACAUACUUGCACUAAAACAACCAAAUAUGCAAAAAUCAAGUGGAAAAACAGGUCAAAAUAAUGCCAGUUGAUGUCUGUAAGAACUAAAUGUAUAAUAAAAUGAGCAAAAAAAAUGGCCAGU